GCUAGCAUGGCAUAGUGGUUUGAGUGUUAGACUGCAACUCUGGAGAUCAAAGUUUAAUUCUCUGCUCAGUCA